AUAGGGGUUUUAUAAUUGUCGCUGCUAACGAUGAUUUGGAUGUUUGUUGUGUUCAGCCCUCUU
rnacentral:tRNA from 1 species